AUACGGAGGGUGCAAGCGUUGUUCGGAAUUAUUGGGCGUAAAGAGCAUGUAGGCGGACUGUUAAGUCUGGUGUGAAAGCCCGGGGCUCAACCCCGGAAGUGCAUUGGAUACUGGCAGUCGUGAGUAUGGGAGAGGAAAGUGGAAUUCCGAGUGUAGGAGUAAAAUCCGUAGAUAUUCGGAGGAACACCAGUGGCAAAGGCGGCUUUCUGGACCAAUACUGACGCUGAGAUGCGAAAGCGUGGGGAGCGAACAGGAUUAGAAACCCUUGAAGUCC
rnacentral:rRNA from 1 species